rnacentral:tRNA from 1 species
GCCCAGUUGGUUAAGCAUCAGACUCCUGAUUUCAGCUCAGGUCAUUCAUGAUCUCCCGGUUCGUGGGCUUGAGCCCCACAUUGGGCU